rnacentral:ncRNA from 1 species
GACACUCUGGAAAGUGGGUGGCACUUGAUUUUUCCACCUCACCGAAGGGGUAAGCCAAUUUUAGUGUUUUUUUGGUGAUUCUCUCAGGUCUACAAGACAGAGUGGG